rnacentral:rRNA from 1 species
AACAAACGCUGGCGGCGUGCCUAACACAUGCAAGUCGAACGCGAAAAUCGGCUUCGGCCGAUGAGUAAAGUGGCGCACGGGUGAGUAACGCGUGGAUAAUCUACCCUUCAGUUGGGAAUAACUUAUCGAAAGGUGAGCUAAUACCGAAUAAAACUGCCUGACCACGGUCGGGUAGUCAAAGAUAGCCUCUGCUUGCAAGCUUUCGCUGAAUGAUGAGUCCGCGUACCAUUAGCUAGUUGGUGGGGUAAUGGCCCACCAAGGCGACGAUGGUUAGCUGGUCUGAGAGGAUGAUCAGCCACACUGGAACUGAGACACGGUCCAGACUCCUACGGGAGGCAGCAGUGAGGAAUCUUGCGCAAUGGGGGAAACCCUGACGCAGCAACGCCGCGUGAGUGAGGAAGGUCUUCGGAUCGUAAAGCUCUGUCGGGUGGAAAGAAAUGUAUGGGGUUAAUAGCCUUCAUACUUGACGGUACCACCAAAGGAAGCACCGGCUAACUCCGUG